AUUGAACGCCGGCGGCAGGCCUAACACAUGCAAGUCGAGCGGAUGAAGGGAGCUUGCUCCUGGAUUCAGCGGCGGACGGGUGAGUAAUGCCUAGGAAUCUGCCUGGUAGUGGGGGAUAACGUCCGGAAACGGGCGCUAAUACCGCAUACGUCCUGAGGGAGAAAGUGGGGGAGCUUCGGACCUCACGCCAUCAGAUGAGCCUAGGUCGGAUUAGCUAGUUGGUGGGGUAAAUGCCUACCAAGGCGACGAUCCGUAACUGGUAUGAGAGGAUGAUCAGUCACAUUGGAUGUGAGAAAGGGCACCGACUCCGGCGGUAGGAAGCAGUGGAGACUCUUGGACGAGGCGCGAAUGCCUGAUACAGGCAUGCCGCGUGUGUGAAGAAGGACUUCGGAUUGGAAAGCACUGUAAGUUGUGGGGAAGGAAAGUAAGUUAAUCCCUGGCUGUAUUGACGGUACCAACAGAAUAAGCACCGGCUAACUUCGUG
rnacentral:rRNA from 1 species